GCAGAUAUCAGGAGGAACACCGAUGGCGAAGGCAGGUCUCUCCGCAUUAACUGACGCUGAGGAGCGAAAGCAUAGGAGCGAACAGGAUUAGAUACCCUGGUAGUCCAUGCCGUAAACGUUGGGCACUAGGUGUGGGGGACAUUCCACGUUUUCCGCGCCGUAGCUAACGCAUUAAGUGCCCCGCCUGGGGAGUACGGCCGCAAGGCUAAAACUCAAAGGAAUUGACGGGGGCCCGCACAAGCGGCGGAGCAUGCGGAUUAAUUCGAUGCAACGCGAAGAACCUUACCAAGGCUUGACAUGGACUGGAUCGCCGCAGAAAUGUGGUUUCCCCUUUGGGGCUGGUUCACAGGUGGUGCAUGGUUGUCGUCAGCUCGUGUCGUGAGAUGUUGGGUUAAGUCCCGCAACGAGCGCAACCCUCCUUUUAUGUUGCCAGCCCGUUAUGGCGGGGACUCAUAGGAGACUGCCGGGGUCAACUCGGAGGAAGGUGGGGAGGACGUCAAAUCAUCAUGCCCCUUAUGUCUUGGGCUUCACGCACGCUACAAUCGCCGGUACAAAGGGUUGGGAUACUGUGAGGGGGAGCUAAUCCCAAAAAGCCGGUCUCAGUUCGGAUUGGGGUCUGCAACUCAACCCCAUGAAGUAGGUGUGGAUAGUAAUCGCAGAUCAGCAACGAUGCGGUGAAUACGUUCCCGGGCCUCCUACACCCCGCCCGCCAAGUCACGAAAGUUGGUAACACCAGAAGCCGGUGGCCUUACCCCUUGUGGGAGGAAGCUGUCCAAGGUGGGACUGGCGAUGGACUAAGU
rnacentral:rRNA from 1 species